ensembl:lncRNA novel transcript
GUAGCUCGGGGCAGGGUGGGCGCGAGAGAGCCUAGAAGCCCAUGUAGCCGCGAAUCCCGCAGCCCCAGUACACCUCCCUCCGUGCCUCCCCGCCUUUUCUGCAGAGCUCCGCCCUGGAGUGAAGGAGGAGCCGUCACCUGGAGCUCCGAAAAAAGCAGAAGAAGGCGCUUUUUAUUUAGCCAGUGUGACCCCGCCAGGGCCUUCUCGGUUGGGUGAGCACUCUCUCUGACCAGGCCAUGAAAAGAAAAAUCUGUGCGAUGCCUCCCCACAUGUCACGGGACUCUGACUUGCCUUUGUCGUCAGAGUUUGCAGAACUUUGGGGGACCUGAGAGGGGAGUGCCCCCUGGACGGGCCACGGCUGUCUGUGGCUUAAGGGCUUUUGGAAGGGCGGAGAGAGGGAAACGGCGUCCUAGUGGCCUGCUUCAGGGCCACCCACGGGCCCUCCCCCAACCUCUCUCUGAUCCAACUUGUUUUUCCAGCCUAGUUGGAAACUUGUGGAUGCUGUGACCUCAAGAAGACUUGGCAUUUUAUUUGGAAGAUAGACAUCUAUUUGCAACUGUCCUGAGCCCCUAUUUUCCUCCCACCUUUCUUGGGGAAACUUGUUUUUAAGGGAUGCCACUGUUUUUGUAACAUGUUGCUCCUAGCUCUUAGCAUUCAUGGUACUGUUGUAACCGUCCAGUGGGUUCACUUUGUCUGCUAGAUAGAGCCGAUUUAUCAAGACGGGGAUUACAAUGGAGAAAGAGUAAUUCACGCAGAGCCGGCUUUGCAGGUGAUGGGAGUUUUAUUAUUACUCAAAUCGGUCUUCUUAAAUUUGUGUCCCGGAGCAGUACGUUCUAACAUUUUUUAGAUGUUACAAAUGUAACUUUUGGCUAAGUUACAUUCCUACUAAGUUAUAUUCUUACUAACUAAGCCAAAUGUUAUAUUCUAAAGAAUGUUUACAGAACCGAAACUAAAUAUUUGUUACCUGGUACAGUUGUGAAACUUGUUUUUUAAAAUGCAUCCUGUGAUUUAAGUUUUUCAGAUCCUGAAACUGAGUUAAAAUUUGAUCAGUAAUAAUGCUUUAUUUCUCUGUUCUUCUGAGAGAUAAUUCCUAAUGUUGUUUUUCCAACUAGAAGUCUGAAGAGUUAUUGUGUUCAGUGUGUACCUUAAGAGUGGUAUGAAUUUGCGGGAGUCAGGACACACUGUAAGAAAGGUAGAAGAGAAAUAAGUGAGCAAGAGAGAAGUGGAACAAGAUGCAUGUGGGAAUAUUGCUGCAGGACUUUUCCUUAUUUCAGCUAAAAAUGGGAUUCUUUGUCCCACGGCCACGGAAAUUCAGGCUCGCAGAUGGUUUAAAGGGUGUGUGAAGCAGAGUUUUAUUGGGUGAAAAAGGGAAAAAAAGGGGGAAACAGGUACUCUUGCAGGGCCAGAGUCCUUCCGCCGGAGCGCUUCCCACCUGACAGUUUGAAUCCCAGGUUCUACAAAUGAAAAACUGGGGCCAGGCUCAGGCUUCUCUCUGCUGCAAACCUUGUGAACUUCCCAAGGCUCCACCUCAGUGGGCAGGCUAAUUGGAGUUUCUCCAGGGACCCCUUCCCACCUGGCUGUCUCAGUAUUAGUAGGAGGGGCUAGAGAUGUAAAAAA